rnacentral:rRNA from 1 species
GACGAACGCUGGCGGCGUGCUUAACACAUGCAAGUCGAACGGAAAGGCCCUGCUUUUGUGGGGUGCUCGAGUGGCGAACGGGUGAGUAACACGUGAGUAACCUGCCCUUGACUUUGGGAUAACUUCAGUAAACUGGGGCUAAUACCGGAUAGGAGCUCCUGCUGCAUGGUGGGGGUUGGAAAGUUUCGGCGGUUGGGGAUGGACUCGCGGCUUAUCAGCUUGUUGGUGGGGUAGUGGCUUACCAAGGCUUUGACGGGUAGCCGGCCUGAGAGGGUGACCGGCCACAUUGGGACUGAGAUACGGCCCAGAAGCCUACGGGAGGCAGCAGUAGGGAAUAUUGCACAGUAGGCGGAAGCCGGAUGCAGCAACGCCGCGUGCGGGAUGAAGGCCUUCGGGGUGUAAACCGCUUUCGCCUGUGACGAGGCGGGAGUGACGGUAAUGGGUAAAGAAGCACCGGCUAACUACGUG